rfam:Canis lupus familiaris chromosome 8, whole genome shotgun sequence.
CUGGGGAGGCCGGAUCCCGGGAUGUGUCCGGCGCCCUGUGCUCCGGAGCCUGCGCUGUUGGAUUCACGCUCCCGCCCCGCAGCCCCCU